UUGUAUUUUUUUGUUUUAAUAAUGUUUCUAUGAGUGUCUAUUUUUCCAAGCUGAGUAUUUGUUUGCAUUUUGUGUUUCCCGGGGCCAUCAUUGCGCGUGGGCUUCACGGGUGGAGCGCAGCGAGCUCGCGCAGGGGUUCGAACAGCUCGCCCGCCAGGUUUGAAUCUCCUCCCCGUCUCGAGCGACGUGUCUUCACUCUCUCCCGCUCCUGAGAAAGCUGCUCGCGCUGCCGGAGGCGCCUUCGCUGGGAUUAUAAAGUGUACCUACUUGAGUUGCAGCCAGGAAUCUGUAACGCGGGACAUUAAAUACAGCCACGGGGUCAAGGACUGCUAUUACGAGAUUGAACCCUUCAGCAGAAAUCGUUGAGAGGGGCCAAGCGGGGGUGCGAGCUGGAGAAAGCACGAGGCUAGGCUUCAUUCUGCUAAGCUGAAAAACUGGCGAGGAAAAUGGGUUAGCAGCCAACCUGUCAGCUGUAUACAUCCAGUCUGGGUAUAUAUAUAGCCCGCAGCCUUUGUCAGGAAUAGCUGCCCUAAUAAAGGAGAGUAAUCUUGGAUAGUGUGAUUUGUAGUGAUGCCAACCUGCUUCCUUUAACCCCCCCCCCACCACCACCACACUC